rnacentral:rRNA from 1 species
AUGUGUGUGCUUGACGCAGAUGGUACGGCCGCCGUGGAGAAUCUUAGGGCAGAACUUGCCCGAGCUAAGGAGCAAGCCAGAAAAAAUGAUGCGGCUGCUGAGAAGGCCCUUGAAGAGCUGAGAGCCGAACAGGCUGCUCACUGCCGAAGCAAAGAAGAGAUGGCCGAGAUGGCCGAGAAGUUAAAGAGUGCUGCAGACCAUUGCAAACUUCUUGAGAAAGAAGACCGGGCGAGACAGACGGACUUAGAGAAGGCCGUUGCCGAUGCCAAGGACGCUCGCUCUGCGAUGAGAGCUGCGAAGGAGGAGCUGCGUCAGGCCAAACAGAUUGCGGCUGGAAAGCCCUUUAUGCUGCGGAGGAAGUUUUGUGAUCCGAAGUUUGCUCCGUUGGACCGGAUGUGGAGUGUGGAGGACACCUAUCUGGAUUUGGCAGCAAGUGCUGCUAAUGCGACCGAACACUUUCGAGAUCUAAAAGAUCGCGAAGUGGAAAAGCUUUUCUGGUCACAGUUCCACAAUCCAGAGCGUCCACUAGCAGUGGACGAUCGCCUGGCUUAA